GUUUCGUCAUUCCGUCCUUAAAUCUCCUCCCGGUCAUGAGGUCCGUGGGAAAUAGGAGCUUAACAAGAUUCAAGAUUCCUUGGGACCCGAAUUAUUUCGUGGUCAGGCCGGAUAUCGUUAAAGUUGGGAAGGUAUAUUUAUAUUUUGAAAGGAUCGGCAGCCUGACUUUUUCAUAAAAUUGGGCGAAAUAAAUGGCGUACACCACACGCAAUCGGACGUCGUUUAUAUAAUGAAGAAACUAAAAUUGUUGAACGGCCGAAGUAAUCGAUAUGGAAAUGUGAGCUGUAACGUGGUGAAACAAGAUUGGGACGAUGAGCAGAAAUAUUUCUGGUUGGUGACAGGAUAUCUGGUGGAGGGUGUCCUUGAUACUGCAACACAUCUCUUGGAGAAUGGUCUUAAUUUUUUCUGGACUGUGAAAAUGAGACUGAAUGCGUUGAGCAAUAUGCAAAUUUCAAGAUAUUGCCAAGUUACAGAUGGACAAGUUUGUGGAAAGGAUGAUGCUAAAAAAAUCGGAUUAAACAGCUCCAUUCAAAUCAUCUUUUGGGGUUUAGUUGGGAUGAAUUUAUUUGCAAUAUUUUUCUUCAUGUUAGAAAUUAAAAGGCCAAGAGGACAUUUGCUGCUUACGAAAUACAAUUACAUAACUUACUCGCAUAAAUUUAAAGGUCUGUGGAAGUAGAAGU